rnacentral:rRNA from 1 species
UACGGGGGGGGCAAGCGUUGUUCGGAAUUACUGGGCGUAAAGGGCUCGUAGGCGGCCAACUAAGUCGGAUGUGAAAUCCCCAGGCUUAACCUGGGAACUGCAUCCGAUACUGUCGUGACUAGAGUCCAGUAGGGGAGCGUGGAAUUCCUGGUGUAGCGGUGAAAUGCGCAGAUAUCAGGAGGAACACCAGCGGCGAAGGCGGCGCUCUGGGCUGGAACCGACGCUGAGGAGCGAAAGCGUGGGGAGCGAACAGG